UACGUAGGUGGCAAGCGCUGUCCGGAUUUACUGGGCGUAAAGGGCGUGCAGGCGGUUUGUUAAGUGCAGGGUGAAAGCUCCCGGCUCAACUGGGAGAGGUCCUUGCAUACUGGCAAACUCGAGGGAGGCAGAGGAAAGUGGAAUUCCCGGUGUAGUGGUGAUAUGCGUAGAUAUCGGGAGGAACACCUGUGGCGAAGGCGGCUUUCUGGGCCUUACCUGACGCUGAGACGCGAAAGCGUGGGGAGCGAACCGG
rnacentral:rRNA from 1 species